UACAUGGGGUGCAAACGUUGCUCGGAAUCAUUGGGCGUAAAGCGCGCGUAGGCGGUUACACAAGUUGGAUGUGAAAGCCCUCGGCUUAACUGAGGAAGUGCAUCCAAAACUGUGCAGCUAGAGUACUAAAGAGGGUCGCGGAAUUCCCGGUGUAGAGGUGAAAUUCGUAGAUAUCGGGAGGAACACCGGUGGCGAAGGCGGCGACCUGGGUAGAUACUGACGCUGAGGCGCGAAAGCCAGGGGAGCGAACGGG
rnacentral:rRNA from 1 species